GACGGGGGGGGCAAGCGUUGUUCGGAAUUACUGGGCGUAAAGGGCUCGUAGGUGGCCAACUAAGUCAGUCGUGAAAUCCCCGGGCUUAACCUGGGAACUGCGCUGGUUACUGGCAAGCUUGAGUGUGGCAGAGGGGGGUGGAAUUCCACGUGUAGCAGUGAAAUGCGUAGAGAUGUGGAGGAACACCGAUGGCGAAGGCAGCCCCCUGGGCUAACACUGACGCUCAUGCACGAAAGCGUGGGGAGCAAACAGG
rnacentral:rRNA from 1 species